UACGGGGGGGGGCAAGCGUUGUUCGGAAUUACUGGGCGUAAAGCGCGCGUAGGUGGUUCGACAAGUUCGGCGUGAAAUCUCCCAGGCUCAACUUGGAGGGGUCGUCGAAGACUGUCGGACUAGGGGUCUGGCAGAGGCAGGUAGAAUUCCCGGUGGAGCGGUGAAAUGCGUAGAGAUCGGGAGGAAUACCAGUGGCGGAAGGCGGCCUGC
rnacentral:rRNA from 1 species